AGUGAACGCUGGCGGUAGGCCUAACACAUGCAAGUCGAACGGCAGCACAGUAAGAGCUUGCUCUUACGGGUGGCGAGUGGCGGACGGGUGAGGAAUACAUCGGAAUCUACUUUUUCGUGGGGGAUAACGUAGGGAAACUUACGCUAAUACCGCAUACGACCUACGGGUGAAAGCAGGGGAUCUUCGGACCUUGCGCGAUUGAAUGAGCCGACGUCGGAUUAGCUAGUUGGCGGGGUAAAGGCCCACCAAGGCGACGAUCCGUAGCUGGUCUGAGAGGAUGAUCAGCCACACUGGAACUGAGACACGGUCCAGACUCCUACGGGAGGCAGCAGUGGGGAAUAUUGGACAAUGGGCGCAAGCCUGAUCCAGCCAUACCGCGUGGGUGAAGAAGGCCUUCGGGUUGUAAAGCCCUUUUGUUGGGAAAGAAAAGCAGCAGGUGAAUACCCCGCUGUUCUGACGGUACCCAAAGAAUAAGCACCGGCUAACUUCGUG
rnacentral:rRNA from 1 species